rnacentral:sRNA from 1 species
UCCAUGUCCACAUUCGCAAUAGUGCCAC